ACCCCCUAUAAGUAAAAGAUUGGAAAAUCAUGCUUCUGCCAUGUCAGAGAGAUAGCUAGCACUUUAUCAAUUUAUAUUCAACUUUCCAAGUCAAGGAAGACCAUAUAGUGUAUAAUUCUGUUGUUUAGCAAACAAACGGUAAAGAGAAUAAAGCUAUUAUACUGAAGAAGUUACAGGCUUAUGUCAUUUUAAAAACUACUAUUAUGCCUUCAUUGAAUUAUUAAGCUUAUUAGCCAUGUUAAGCAGAAAAUAGAUGAUUGCAUUUUGGAAUGGCUGAAUUAAUGUUUCACUAUGUUUUACCUAAGAAAAGAUGUUGACGUUGGUCAAGUGAACAUCAAACAAUAAGCUGAUGUGCCACAGUCACUGCAGGUGCAAUUCAGAACUACCUGGGAGUUCUGAUCAUUCAUCACGCUCAGGACUAAAGCUGUCCUCCCUGGCAGCCUGUCUGGUCGGGCAUGUGAGAAACCCAAGAGCAUGGCAUUCCUUUUAAUAAACAACAUGGCAUGUCACCAUCACCAUGGCACUCACUGUCUCUGUCACGUCUGGCUUCUAAAAAUGCAGCAGCCAGGAAGAAGAUAGAUUACAUCUUUUGGGAACCUUGUCAACUGCCUGUGACCAAGAGUGAAGGAUUUGGGUUGGGCCUCAUUUUAAAUGUUGGAUAGGAUUGUAACAGGGGAGGAGAGGAAGAAAGCAAAGUGAUUAAAAGAUAGAAUUAAAGGCAAUAAGGACUGAAAAUCCAGAAUUCCAGGACUGGAGACAGCUGGUGGCUUCUUGCAGAAGGAAUUUGAAUCCCUUGUCAGGUGUCACUAAGCUGGAAGUUGGGUGACUGAAAGCAGGACCCGGGCUGUCGAGGACGCAGGGCGGCACUGACUCACCGUCCACGGGGCGAUGGGGCUCGCGGGGCUCGCGGGGUUCGCGGGGCUCGGCUGCGGCGGAUAAGCGCUAGGAGCCCGGCGCCAGGAGCGCAGCUUUAUAGCGCGCUGAUGGACGAGGACUGAGAGGGAGGAGCAGAUCCCUUGGCAGUCCUCUUGGGCUCAAAGGGCACCACAGCAGCGCAUUGGAGUGGCUGCAGAAGGGCCACCUGGAAUAGGGCGUCUUUCUUGUUUACACCCCACCAUUCUGAAUUGGACCUUGUGCGUCUCGGUGGAAAAGCUGAGGUGAACCAAUGUUGGUCCAGGGCAUCUGUAGAUGGGUCAGGGCCUGGCUGGGAUGAGGCCCGCCAAGGCAUGCUGAAGAAGUGACCAGUGCAGAUGCCAGGCAGCCCUCAUCCAUCCUGGCAUCCAACAUUCCCAUCUUCAGGCAGCAAAGGAAUGCCCUGCUGUGAAAGUAAAUCAAAGCAGAAAUCCCAGAAGCAGUUGCCCACUUGCUGGUGGCUACAGGAGCAUCUUUAAAUGGGAGACAAAGGUCUUCUAGGUGGUGACUCACCUGAAAAAGCAAAUACUUUGAUUGAGAAGAUAAAAACAAUUUAAAUCAUAAGAACAUUCGAGUCUUCAUACUAUGAACACUAUCUGUGCACAAGCAGUGUCUUCAUCUCAAGAAUGCAUUAGAAAUGGAGUCCCAGGCCCCACCUCAGUCUACUGAAUCAGAAUCUCCUUUUCAGCAAGAUCCCUUUUGAUUGGCAUGUACACUGAAGUGUAAAGCACUGCUAAGAAUGACUGAUACAGUCUUACUGGUGGAAAGUAGAUGUUGAAGAAUCUUGAGACAUAUGAGAAGGACAAAGAAAGAUGGCAUGAGGAAACCACCUUACGAUUUGAGAGCUUGCUUAAUAUAUCUGAGGAGGCAGGGAACCACAGAACCCCAUCUGCCUGCGGCCACACAGCUGAACAAAUGAAAGAGAGGCCUUCUUCUCUGAGCCACAGAGAUUUGCUACAUGAAGCCCAGGCUGCCAGUGCUGGCCAGUGUCCAGCUUGGCUGACCUUGUGCAUCCCAGUGGGACAACAAAGCCAGUGGGUCCUCAGGGCUCUGGAGGGCCAGCAAGGCCCUUUGUGGCAUGGACAGGCCAGGAGGAAUACGUGCAAGGCAAGCUGAAAGAACAGAAGGUGGGACAGUCCCUGCUGCCCUUGCCUUGAGGGAAGCCUGUUUCAUCCACCAUCUGCUGGGAUCUGGAAGGGAGCUGCCGGCCAGCCUCCUCCCCGCACUGAGAGGAUUAGCAGUCACUUGUCUCAGCUGUUCCUCCAUUCAGAGGUGUCGCAGAAGCCAGAAGCAGACCCAGCCACACUUAAUUCCUUCUCACAAGCCCUCCCCAUUCCCUGCUGCAUUCCUGGAGUUGAGGAGGAGGUAGGCUUGGGGGUCUCUCUAGAUGAGGCCUGGGCAAAGGAGCCAGCCUUCCUAAACAUUUCUAUUUUCUCUUCUUAUACAUUUGUUCACCCUCACAGCCUUCUGACUGGAGCUGGGUUUCAGUUUUCAGUAAAAGAAGAAAGUGACGUGACUGCGAGGGAUGCAGGCCCCCACACAUCCUGGCACUAAAAGCCACAACAAGACAUGCCCAGUGUUUGCAGCAUACUGCCCCAUGCCUUACACUCGCUCAUCAGGAAGGUUCACCCUGAGUGGGGAUGUUUCCACCCCCAAAUGGGCCCCUUUCUUGGGAGAUUCCAGCAGUCACUGCCUUUUGAUAUGUAAGACCAACUGCAAUGGGCCACUUAGUAAGAUUCAGAAAAGGAGGACAAGGCUGGAGGGAGAUGCCAAGGGAGGUGCUGCACUCUCCUUUAUCUUGGUAGAAGGCAGAGAAAUCAGAAGAGAUUUCUAGAGAGCAUCUUUUAGUUCCUUAAAAGGAGGUUGUCCUUCAGAAACAGGAAGGAAAUGCUCACCCUUGGAAGGUACUCCUCUUAGCUCAGAUUUGUCAUCCAUUUUUUAAGUAUUACGUGGACCAUGCCCACUUUCUCUGGAAAGUCCAAAUAUGGCAAUAUCUACCUUAAGCUUAACCAAACCUCCUGUUAUCAGAUGCACUAGCAGUGAGUUUUAGAGACACCCUAAAGGCCAUUUGCAUGCUACUUGUAGGAUGUGGAGCUCAUCGCUUCCUAAUCAAAGAUCAGGCACUAGAUAAUGGUAUCAGUUAUAUUCAUUACAGACAUUUACUGAGCACUUCCUAAGAGUAAGCAGUGUCUUAAGACUUUCUAUGUGUAUAUGGUUAACCUGGAUAACUUGUAGAUGAAGCUAGAAAACCUGUGGCAGAAUCCAUUCUACUGAUCUGCUUUUCGAUACGAUGUCACCAGUUUAUGUUCAGGGGUUAGGUAAGAAAUAGGUCAAUUACCUCUGUUGUAAGGGCAUUGUCAUUGGUACUGAUCAAAGAUCACGAUCUUCUUUAUGAGCCGGAAUUUCCUGUCUCAUUCUAGUCCCCCAAGUAUUAACACUUCUAUCAUGUAACCAGUUUGUUUUGAUUCUGUGAUCUCUGAACCUAAGGGCCAACCAGGUUUCUUAUUGGUAGUAGUUAAUAAAAUUCCUCAAAAAUCAUAUUAAUGGCCCAACUAUUAAUGAUUAUAGAUCUAUUUUGUAUGUCUACCACUAUUUUUCAAUUUUAUUUUUCUUUCACUUUUAACUGUCAUGGUUUUGUCUUUGUAAACUAUCAUAAAUCUUUUGUGGGACAAAACAAACGAUGGAUGUUAAGACAGACAAGAGUGACUUUGGAAAGACUACUUCAAGUUGGAAUCAGGUGAUCAAUUUCAAGUAGCCCAGAGCUGACAAUGAUUUGCCUGUAUCUGUAGCUUUCUUCCAUUACAAUGAAAUCAUAUGCCACAUAAAGAAUAAGCUCACUGCUUGUGAAGUACAUCAUUCUGAUUUUCUUCUUAGCAUGAUAAGUAUAACAGAAGAUCUAAAAUAUUUCACCUAUAAUAAAAACAAUAUGUCUUUAUUGUGGUAAGCUAGGAAACAGAAAUGUGUAAGGAAAAUGACCUGUCUGGGAGAUUUGUAAGGCCUUGUUUUUAACUGCCCUAGAAUAAAACUAAGUAAGAUACAAAAUUUAUGAAGCCUUGACUUUCCUAUCUACUUAUAGCUACUGUACCGAGAAAAGACAAAUAGCCUCCUAUUCUGGUAGUUUGUAAGAAUGUCCACUUGUUCUUUAAAGACAGACAUGUAAUGCAAGGAAUUUGCAUUAAAAGCAUUUCUUGGUCCCACUAUUAUAAUCUAAAUUAUCUGUAUUCAACAGCUGGAACCAAAGAAUGCCAAACUGCAAGCAGGUUCUGCCCCUGGGAUUAUUCCACCCACAGCUCACUUAUAUAUUUUAGAGGAAGGUUUGUGUUCUUCAACUCAGCUGUUGAAUCCUUUCAAAACUGAAGUCUGAAAACAAUGAUCUAUCACAAAUACAAAAUUAAACCAUGGAAAUACACUGCUGAAAAUUUAUCUUUGUGUGGGAAAUCCAAAAAUAAGUUUUUUAAAGGAAAAAUCUUGAUAGCUAUUUUAUGAUCAACAUUUCUAAACUCCUUUUGCUUGGGGCUACAAACAACCUACACUGCCUCUGUUUCAAUAUUAGAAGUGAAAAUAAUAAUAAAGGCUUUGUCUAAA